UUUUUGUGCUGAUUUAUUUUAUUGAUCCAAAAAUCCUAACAUAUCAACAGAUCAGCAAUCUGUAUUUAUAAAAUAGUCUGUACCUCAUGAUGAUCCCUUACAAACCGAGGCACAUACUUUACCAGAGCACCAGAAGAAAAUAAAACAUAGAGAACCUAUGCUCAUGAAUCUUGUGAAAAUGGUAUGCACCAUUUUUGCCCUAAUUAUGAAAUGAUGGGCAGAUUGAAAAAUAUUAUAUGUUUAUUAAAUGUUAAAUAAAGUUUUGUUUAUUAUUGUUAUAUAGAAGUGAGUCUUAAUAUUUCUAUUUUGCAUUCUUUUUUGCAAAUAGGUGACACAAGUUUAUUACAAACAUUUCAUUUUUCUACACAAUCUCCAUGAUUUUCAGUGCAAGUGUUCAAUCAAUUUAUGAGUGUCUGGAUUCCUCUAGAAAUAAAAAAAAAAUGAUUGAAUUCUAAUUUAUGACACUUUUCAUUUCCUUUUUCACUUGACUAACAAUUUGUAUUUAUACAGGUCCCCAAUAAUGUCACUGUAUCUGCACAGUACUGGUACACAACAGUGUAUUUGCAUAGUAGCAAAUAACUAAAACAACUACUACAGCAGAAUGAGCUAGCGCAAUCAGAACCACAGCUGGAUUAGAAAGAAACUGUCCUUGUUUUCUUUGUUUUUAAUCAAUUUUGUUAUUCAGUGAAUAGUCUUUUUAUAGUUAGUAGACCAAAACUGGUCUCCACAGACCAAUAAGUAAAAUGUAAUAAUUUCUACCACAUUAAAAACAAACAAACAAACAAACAAACAAACAAACAAAAAACAGAUUUUUGGCUCAUACUCUGAUGGUUUUAUUACAUUUUAGCUGCAGUGAUUGGUUUUGGUUUUGGGUGGAUUCGGUUUUGUUUUCUUUUGCUCAUAUUUCCUCAUAUUUACAUCUAGAUGUGUUACAUCUACAAUUAGAGCAUGACACCUUUUGUUUGAACCCAGCCAUUUUUUCAAGUGAUCAAAAAUAUUGGAACAGCAGCAGCUGAUGCCAGAAACAUUGUGAGCUGUGAAGAAAACUCCCAAAACAACAGUUAGUGACAUCACCAACAACCUUCACAAGGCAGGGGUGAAAGUAUCACAAUCCACCAUUCAAAGAAGACAAUGCAAACCACUCAUCAGCAGUAUGAAUCAGAAAGCCAGAUUGGAAUUUGCAAACAAAUACAGAGAUGAGCCACAAAUGUUCUAGAACGAAGAUAGACCUCUACCAAAGUGUGGAGAAAAAAUGAAUCUGCUUAUGAGCCAAAAUAUAGAAGCUCAUCAGUCAAGCAUGGUGGAGGUAGUGUCAUGGCUUGGGCUUGCAUGGCUGCUUCUGGAACAGGGUCACUAAUCUUUAUUGCUGAUGUAACUCAUGAUGGUAGCAGCAGAAUGAAUUCAGAAGUAUACAGAAACAAUCAGUUUUCCAAUUUACAGAGAAAUGCAUCCAGUCUAAUUGGGAAGAACUUCAUCAUGACAAUCACCCAACAUAAUCCAUGAACAUCACCAAGACAAUAACCCAAAAAUCACUGCCAACUCAACAAAGUAUCAGGGCAAAAAUGUAGAAGGUUUUAGAGCUUGUCAAUCACCAGACCUUAACCCAGUUGAGCAUGCAUUACAUGUCCUGAAGAGGAGACUGCAGGGAGCCACUGCAUCCCUGUAUAGGAUUAAGUGUUUACUGAAAAUGAGUUGAUUAAUGUAAACUAACUUUCACACAGGCUUAGUUUAUCCUCCAAAUAUAAAAAAAAAUCAUUAAGAAAUUUGUCAUACUCCAUCUGUGAUGUGAUAAUAUUUCCAGGCUUUUAGACAAACCCAAACUUUUUUUAGAUUCUGAAAAAUAAGCGUGUAUUUAGAUUGUGUAAGAAAACCACUGUAGUGUAAUGUAAGUGGCAAAGAAAGUAGUUGUGUUGUGUUAUUGCUAUGAUCAGUAUUCUGUUCCUAGCUAUCAAGUAGACAGGAGAUAACAAAAGUAUAAGUUUUCAUUUAGAACUGGAUGGCUUAGUCUCCUGCUUUCUGCAAUAGUGAGCUUCCACUUUUACAUAUAUGGUAUGUCAGAUCUCAGGUUCUAUGUCACGCCAGCACCACAGUCCAUGAGAAAUUCCCCUUGCAAGAACACACCAUGGCCCACAAACAUGGCCACAAUGUACUACAAUCCCCAGCACAACACUCCACCGGUACAGUCACAGUCACCCAAGUUCUAAGGCUGUUAAAAAAUUGACUUUAUUGUUUAACCUUUUGAUCUUUUCUUAAAAAAUAAAUAAAUAAAUAAAUAAAUAAAAAUAAAAACAUGUCAAUGUUUUAGUGCUUAACACAGUUCUCUGUGUUUUCUAUUUUCAAACUAAACUACACAAAGGAUUCAGCAGUCAUGUUUCUGCAUUCAGUGUAUGGUAAUGUAAUCACAUAUCUCUGUCUGUGUUUUCUGUUUUUGUUCAUCUUGGAUCAUGGCACCAGUGGCGCCUGGAAAACGUAUAUAUAUCCCUGCAGGAGGCCGCACUUGACAUUUUGCGCAUUGAACAUCAGAGGUUCAAAGCUGUGUUAUAUUACGUCUCCCAAUGGGAGAAAAGUCCAGAAAGCCUUAAGUCACAAGCUACAACUGUCCAUGAGGGAUAGCAACAUAAACACAGCCAAGGAGCUCAGGGCCUUAUUUUACCUGACUCAGCACUAGUGUGCAUGCCUCUCCUCAUAGCAGAGAAGCUUGUGGUGUAGUGAAGGCUGCAGUAUAGUGAGAGUUUAAAUGCAUGAGUAACAUUGGAAAGAUACGAAACUCCUGAGCCAACUUCACUGCCAGUGCUAAAGUUGUCGCUCAUCUAUCUUCCAUUGGCUUUUGGCUUCUCCUUUUUGUCAGAUUACAAAAUGUAACACAAUCAGAUCAAUAAGUACAUGGACAUUGACAAAAUUAUUGUUAUUUUAGCUGUCUACUACAAUAUAUUGGAGUUGAAAUUAAACAACACAUAUGCAGUCUAAAAAUUUCAGCUUUAAUUUGAUAUUUAUAUCCAAAUCAGGUGAGCGGUAUAGGAAUUACAACCAUUAUUAUAUGGUUAUAUAGCCUCCCAAUUUUAGGUGCUCAGAAGUAACUGGACAAACUAGCAAUCAUAAAUUAAAUUGUGUCAUGCUCAUGAAAGGAUCAGAAUUUGAUGCACAAGACUAUAGUGAUAUCCUGUUCCCUUUCAAAGGGAACUCCACAUUGCAUUUAGCAUAACAC
ensembl:lncRNA